UGAAGAGUACUCCACAACAGUAUCUU
rnacentral:piRNA from 1 species